UUCAUGACCGUAUUGCUUUUCCCAGCUCCUAUAGAAGGCGUCCACUUGAUCAAGAGUAUUUACGAGACCCUUGUGGUUUGCUUCAGUGCCCUCAACUGGUUGCAACAAGAGCCCGACAAAAGAUUCCGCCAGGCGCCAUACAGUCGCGCUGUGCACAAUUUACAGUGCUCGAAAGGACGACACCCUUGGGGACACCUCGGUGCCAGUGACUUUACUACGAGGCGCUGGGAAGGCACGUAGACAGCGGGAUUCGUCCCAGCUCGAGCCCAGUGGACGGCGUACAGUACGCGUUGUCGGUUUCUCACUUAACACGGAAACGCGGACUUCGCAGGGAAUGCCUUUCAAGUCAACUGCCGGCACCCCGACGAAAUUAAACGGAACCGUGCAUUUGUGGCAGCCACGACGACUGCAGUACGAUGGUCGCUGCGAAGAUUGCACAAUGGCUGACGUUUCUCAAGGAAUGGCUCAAGGAAUUAC